GUAGGUCACUUGGAGCCUGGCAGGCAGGAAGCAGACGUGGGGUUCAGCAAGAGUACUUUGAUACCGUAGGAAGUGACUGCAGCUAGGUGGCUGGUUCAUAAUCCGGACUUUUAUGAAACACCUGCAUCCUAUGCUUUCUUGUGCUGUGCACUGUUUGAGAUGAUUUAGAAACAGCAACUCAUUUAAUUCUCCUAACAACCCCAGGAUCGAGUUCUGUUAUUGUCUCCACGUUCUGGAGGAGGAAACUGAGGCACAGACACUGGCCCGAGAUCAGACAGUGGUGUGAGCACCCGUCCUCAACUACUAGGCUCUGCUGAGAUGGAAGGGCGUGGCCACCUAUUGGACAAGCGCCUAGAGGAAGGAGAAAUCAAGGACAACCAAGAGGAUGAUGGGAACGUUACCCUGAACCUGAAUGUGCAGAUGUGCUCGUUUCUACGUUCUUCUGCUGCUAACUCCCCCCUUAUUAGUUGUGAGGUCUUUAAAGGCGGGUAUCCUGAAAUCACCCACGGCUUCCAAAAGGUAAGUAGCCCAUGUCAGCUUGCACAGGCACCAGACUCAAAACGAGGAAGUCAAGAUCUUAGAAUCAUCUCUGUCGAUAACUUGCUGUGUGGUAGAGUUAGUAAACAUCAGUUUCUUGAUCAGAGAAGUGAAAGCAUACAUACAUGUUGCUUCCUCCUGUGAAAUGAGCAAGGCUUCAGGGUUGCAGAGCUCUAGAGGGUGCCAUUCAAUACCCUCUGGGGUAUCAUUCUGGGGAUACCCAAGUAGGAGCUGCAAUUAUUGUUAUUAUUAUUACUAAUUAUUAUUAUUGUUAUCAUCUAUAAAUUUCUUCCAGCUUGAACAUUGGGUGUCUGAAAACACUUGAAUGAUUCCUGCCCCCAUGCCCUGCCCGAGAAAUAAAGAAAGUGGGUUUGAACUUGAAGACCAAAAAUAGUCUAUAGGCAAUUUUCUCUCUGUAACUGGUUUGUUCCUCCCACCUAGUUACCUCUGUCGAAUUCAUUUGAAUCCCUUGCUGGCAACUUCUUUCCUGGCAAUGUCCACCUCCAGGUAAGUGAGGAAAGCACAGACCUGGACAGAGGCUGACUAGACCAGAACCUUCGCCAGCUGGCUGCCUUUGUCUCUAUAGCUGAGCAAAGUCAUCUGUGGACAAGGCAUUUUUCCAGUGAAGGCUGCUUUGCCUGAUGGUAUGCACUAGCUGCUGAGAUGUCUGUACAUUGUUGCAAGAAGCCUGGAGAAACAGAGAUGGCUGUUCUCAAAGGACUUCUAUGGCUAAUUUUAGAAAGAAAUCUAGACUAAAGGAAAUGCUGUCUGCUGUUCCUAUGCAAUAUUCAUCAGGUGAAGACCCUUUCCUCAGGACAUUUCCUGAGGAAGUGUGAUCUCACACUUGAAUGUAGAAAUGGUGUCUUUUGAGGAAUUUCGAGAAAUUCGGUCUCUUUUUAUUCAUUUGUUCAUUCAUUCAACCAACUUUUAUUUGGUGUUUAUCGACCCCACGUUCCAGGCAUAGAUUACAUAUCAAUGACCUUGUGUACUAUUUAUGUACAUUUGAGGUCAGAAGACCCGUUUUUAAAUCCUCCCACUAACUUUGCCAACUCUGUGAGCCUCAGUUUUCUAUUCUCACAGGGACCUUGUUGGAGUUGAAUGAUUUCAUAUGCAUAAUGGAUGUCAUAUGUCAAUGGGAGGUGCCAACGUUAGGGAUACGAGGAGUGUUGCUAGGGCAAGCCUUAACUGUGUAGGUAACAAUGGAAUUCUGAUUAAGAAUGCACUUAGGUGGGGGCGCCUGAGUGGCUCAGUUGGGUAAGCAUCUGACUCCUGAUUUUGGCUCAAGGCAUGAUCCCAGGGUCGUGGGAUCGAGCCCUGUGCCGGGCUCAGCGCUGAGCAUGGAGCUUGCCUAAGAUUCUGUCUCUCUCCCUCUGCCCCUCCCUUCCUCCCCCCUCACCUCCCGUCCUACCUCGCCCCGCCCCACUAGUGCAUAAGGUCUCUCUCUAAAAUAAAAAUAUAGAAGAACACUCUUAGGUGACUUCUCUCAGGAGAACUAACAGGAGAGAAACAAGCUCUAGGCUACUUGCUUUAUCUCUGGGCAUGAAUUAAGCUUUUAAAACCCUUUAAGGAGUAGGGGAUGCCCCGCUUUCCAAAGUCAGUAAUCCUACAAGGCUACUUGACUUCCAGAGUUUUUCACCAACCAUUCACUGAUCCCUGUUUUCCUGUUCAAUGCUUCUUCAUAAUACACCUGCUAGUGUGCAGGAAAUAUCCUCCUUCCCACCUCCAUGGCGAUGGACCCUGGAAAAGGUAGCCUGCAUGGAAAGAGAGGCAAGGGCAGGUAACAAAAUUGUUCUUAUUGGGUCUAUUUGAUUCCUACUAGGCAGGGGCUUGGAUGAUUUGACCAAAAUUCUAGCCAGGUGGUGGAGAAGAGAAGGCUGAGUUAAGCACCCUGUCUUGGUUCUAUUUACCAAGACAGAGCCAAGUGAUGAGAGGAGGGUGAGUGUCCCUCUCUGGCUGCUCUGCUCCUGAGUCAUGUCCUUGGUAAGCCUACAGCCUUUGAAUCUGGAAAGGCACCAUCUGAUGGGGCUGCAUUCACAAGUCUCUAGGCGUCUCUAGGAGUUCCAGAAAGCACUGACCGCUCUCGAGAACCUUAAGAAAAUGUCUUUAAUUUCAAACCCCUCCUCUUCAUUCAUUAAAUCCUCAGACUUCCUUUUGGAGCAUAAGACAGGGCAGUGUCCUGGGCCACCGUGGACUUGACCACUCUUUAGAUCUGCGUUGUCUAGUAUGACAGCCACAUGCGGGUAAUGAGCACUAGAAAUGUGCUAGGCACCAUGGACAUUUGCUGUAAGUGCAAGGUAGUCACCAGAGCCCGAAGACCGAAGACCCAAGGAGGAAUGCCAGUGAUAUCAUGAGCGAGUUUUCAAUAUUGAUUACAUAGUGAAAUGAUAAUAGUUUCAAUUUAUUUAUUUAUUUAUUUAUUUAUUAAAACCCCAAACUUUUAUCUUGUGACCAGUCGUUGAACUCCUGCAGAUGAACUGGAUGCAGCAACAGCCGCCCUCUUGGGUUUAGGUAUCGUUCCUUCACAGAAUCCGUGCCUGAAUCUACGGUACACGAUUUUUAGGCUUCUCAUUUGACUGGUCCCCGUGGUAUUUCAUCUCUUAGCCUUGGCGCUCCAGUUAUACUUUCAAUCACACUUCUUAUUUCGCUUAUUUUAAAAACACUGACAUUUACUAAUUAUUUGGAUUUUAGCAUCCUAACUUGAAAAGUACUCUCUCUGUUAUGGGCUGAAUUAUGUCCCUUCAACAUGGCCGCAGAAUGUGACUGACUGUAUACGAAGACCAGGCCUUUGAAGAGAUGGUUAAGUUAAAAUGAGGCUUUUAAGCUGGGUCUUAAUCCAAUCUGGCUGGUGUCCUUAGCAGAUGAGGAAAGCUGGACAUAGAAAGAGGCACGAGGGAUACCCAGGCACAAAGGAAAAACUAUGUGAGGACACAGCAAGAAGGCAGAUGUCUGCAAGCCAAGAAGAAAGCCUCAGGAGAAACCAUCCCUGUGAACGCCUUGAUCUUGGACUUCUAGCCCCCCGAAGUGUGAGAAAAUUAAGUUCUGUUGUUUAAGCCGCCUGGUCUGUGGUCUGUUUUCGUGGCAGCCCUUGGAAAUGUAUACACUAACCUUUUUCUUAGUAGACCUGGAGAAAGCUUAGUGACAAGAGAAAACAAUUUCUCCAAGGCCAGAAAUCUGCUUCCUGCAACAAUCUGUUGGGGCCUCAAAGAGAGCUGGGAACACUUCUCUCUCUUAUUGCUUCUGUCUGAGAGCAGCGUCUGCUCUCCAGUCCCCAUGCCCAUAUUGUGUGCUUCUCUGUCUCCUCUUCUACUAACAGUCCUCUUUGUUCCUUGACAGAUGAUGAAGAUUUAAGAGCACUAGCGUCAGAAAACUGGCGUUUUGAAGAGAACUGGCUGACCUCAAGGUUUUAUAUCUAGGUCUAUGGAAACACACAAACCCUUUUUCUUCUAAAGUUCUUUCAAGACAUUAAUCUGAAGGAAAGAUAAAGCCAGAUGUAUUAAAAUAGUCACAGGAUUCUGAACACGUUUAUUGGUAGGAAGAAUUUAGUGUUCUAGAAAAUUUUAUAUCUAUUGGACAAUAGGGGUAACCAAAAGAUUCGAAGGGAGGAUGCCAGGCCAUAUGACUUCUAGAGUUUUCUGCUAACUCUAAGAUCAACAGGUCUGUAACUUUCUGUCCUAGGGUUUCAUCUACUCUGGAUGGGAGCAGUCUUAGGGAUGGAGAGAGGACCGUUCAGACCAGGUGCAUCUUGGAGCUGGUGAACGUCAGUGGAAGCUUCAUCUUCACAGACAUCUGCCUUCUAGAAAACAGAGUUGUGGUCCAUUGCUUUGCCAAUGAGUCAAGAAACUGUUUUCUUAACCAGGGUCCGUGGCUGGGGCUUCAGGGGUCUGUGAACCCCUGACAUGAGCUGCAAAGACAAGUGGAUUCCCUUCUGGCCUGAGGGACUCUGGACCUCUGUGACUUCCAUGAGGGGUAAAGUUCAAUGUUAACCUCACCAACGAGAAGUCAGUUUCAGAAGCUGGCCAUGCCCUGGUUUCUUCCAAGGAGACAAAACAGUGUUUCUCAGAGGGGCCUGUGAGAAGGCACCUCAGAAAUGUAGUGAUUUAUAAGCAGGAUGUUAUUUCUUACACAGUAGGAAAGCUGGAGGAUCCCUUUAUUUUUUUAAAAAAAAUCUUAAAAAAAUUUUUUUUAAUGUUUAUUUUUGAGACAGAGAGAGACACAGCAUGAGCGGAGGAGGGGUAGAGAGAGAGGGAGACCCAGAAUCUGAAGCAGGCUCCAGGCUCUGAGCUGUUGGCACAGAGCCCUAUGCGGGGCUCGAACUCACAAGCUAUGAGAUCAUGACCUGAACCAAAGUCGGACGCUCAACGGACUGAGCCACCCAGGCGCCCGCUUUAUUUAUUUUUAUAAAGUUUAUUUAUUUUGAGGGAGAAAGAGCACCCCGGUGUGCGUGCGAGUGGGGGAGGGGCAGAAAGAGAGGGAAAGAGAGAAACCCAAUCGGGCUCUGAGCUGUCAGCACAGAGCCCCACGUGGGGCUCAAACUCACGAACCCUGAGAUCAUGACCUGAGCUGAAACCAAGAGUCGGAUGCUCAACUGACUGAACCACCCAGGCGCCCCUGGAGGAUCCUUUUUGUACUAUCCACUCAGGGGACAGAUGAGGAACCUGAGGCCCACACAGGGUCAGUGGCUGCAGGAGGCCCCUGAGCCAGGUGGUAGCAGAGCCCGGCAAGGGCCCAGGGUCUUGUGACGGGAGCUGGUGAGCUGGGCGCUCUACACAUCCCUCUUUCUAUAUUCAUCCCUGUUCCUGCAGUCUUCCUCAAACUUCAGUCUCCAAAUUGUGCCACAGGUCAAAUUGGGGGGCCCCCUCGAGUCAAAAUUUCAAGAACUUAAGAAUACAGAUCAUGAGAUCUGCCAAAUAGCAUCUAAGACACUUCCACUUUGGAAUACACUAUAGUGUAAGUGGUGGGGGUCCCUCGGGUCCUUUGCAGCCAGGGUAUUGCACUCUCUCUGCCUUAAAUCCUGGGGUGCAGGCCAAGCACGGAGGCCAGGGCUCCUGCUAUGACUUGGCCUCAGCGAGUUCACCAUGCACUCAAGUCCAAGGUGAGUUUCCGGGGAACAGGUUCUCAUCACCUACCCCCUAGAGGCGGCAGGUCGCCCCUCCCUGCCCUGCUCCAGCCCCUCUGGGUUGUGCAGAAGCCAAAGGGGAUUUGAGAUAAAGGAGACGCAGGUAACAGGCCCAGCCCAGGCCCAAGGAGCUGAACCGGAGGCGGGAGGGUAACUCAGGCCAGCACACUCACCUCCCCGGAGAUGGGGAGGGUGGCCCGGCAGCCAGAAGGAAAACUCCUGGGCUUUUUUAUUGAAUCCAUAAAACAAAAGGUGAGGGGGUUUCUGGGCAGGGAAGGAAUGCGUGGUUAUUUAUGGCCGCUGAUCUGUAGAGGAGGAAAACUCGGAACUCCUUCCAACUCUGCGCGUGAUUCAUCUCCCCCGGGAGCCGCAGGGCCGAGGCGGGCGUGCGCCGGCAGCCCCGGCCCCGGCACACUCCGGCCGCCUGCUUAUUUACGGUGCUUUAUCAGCGGCUGUGCGCGGCGAUAAAGUUUACGAAAAGAGGCGGCGUCUGCGGCAGGCGGGCCGGCCCGCGCUCCUUUCCCACACUGAUUAGGAUCAGCCAGGGCUUUGGAAGCUGCAGUUAAGGAUCUCGGGUGCCGGGAGCCGCGUCUCCCCCUUCCUGCCCCGCCCGCCAGCCCGUCGGCUGCGGGCCCGCGUGGGAGCGGAGGUCAGGGCCGCGGCCAGGCGGGGGCGGGGCG